UACGAAGGGGGCUAGCGUUGUUCGGAAUUACUGGGCGUAAAGCGCGCGUAGGCGGACCUGCAAGUCGGGGGUGAAAGCCCGAGGCUCAACCUCGGAACUGCCUUCGAUACUGCGGGUCUCGAGUCCGGGAGAGGUGAGUGGAAUUCCUAGUGUAGAGGUGAAAUUCGUAGAUAUUCGGAAGAACACAAGUGGCGAAGGCGGCUCACUGGACCGGUAUUGACGCUGAUGUGCGAAAGCGUGGGGAGCAAACAGG
rnacentral:rRNA from 1 species